rfam:Triticum aestivum genome assembly, contig: Triticum_aestivum_CS42_TGACv1_scaffold_162524_2DL
AUACUACUCCCUCCGUCCCGAAAUACUUGUCGGAGAAAUGGAUAAAAUUGAAUGUACCUAUAACUAAAAUACGUCUAGAUUCAUCCAUUUUCCGACAAGUAUUUCUGGACGAAGUGAGCAUAAG